CUGAAUAUAUCGAUUCUCAUUCAAUCACCGAAGUCAAGCACCAUCGGACUCGGUCAGUACUAGGGAGGGUGACCACCUGGGAACAUCUCGUGC